AAGCCAUUUCAUUGUGACAUUUGUGGUAAAUCAUUCCCUCAACGUAAUAACUUGACUACACACCAACGUAUUCAUACAGGGGAGAAGCCAUUUCACUAUGACAUCUGUGGUAAAUCAUUCCCUCAACAUAAUAACUUGACUACACUCCAACGUAUUCAUACAGGGGAGAAACCAUUUCAUUGUGACAUCUGUGGUAAAUCAUUCCCUCAACAUAAUAACUUGACUACACACCAACGUAUUCAUACAGGGGAGAAACCAUUUCACUGUGACAUCUGUGGUAAAUCAUUCUUUGAAAAAGGUAGCUUGACUACACACAAACGUAUUCAUACAGGGGAGAAACCAUUCCAGUGUGACAUCUGUGGUAAAUCAUUCUCUGUAAGCAUUACAUUAACUAGACACAAAUGUAUUCAUACUGGAGAGAAACCUUAUUGAUGUGAUGUCUGUGGUAGAUACUUCUCCCUGCAAAUUGCUUUAAAUUCUCACAAACGUGUUCAUACAGGAUAGAAGUCGUAUCACUGUAACAUCUGUAGUGAAACAUUUUCUAUAAGUAGUGAUAAAUGACUGCUCAGUACUUUUGGUGUUAACUAAAUGUAUAACUAUUGGUAUAGAUGUAUGACUACCAAUGUGACCAUUUUAAGAACCAUAAGCAUUUUCAGCUCCUCCUAAAUUGGUGGUACUGUUGUGGGCUUUCUCCAUGGCAAUAACCAAGCUAUUCAUCAGGGAAUUGCUGUAAUUGUAAGAGUUCCUUCUAUGCCAAA